rnacentral:ncRNA from 1 species
CUCUGGUUUGAAAGAUUAACCAGGGCAUAAAGGAG